AAAGUUCCGAUCAAACGUCCAUCUGCUG
rnacentral:sRNA from 1 species